rnacentral:rRNA from 1 species
AACUUUGGACAAUGGGGGAAACCCUGAUCCAGUCAUCCAGCGUGUAUGCUGAAGGCCUUCGGGUUGUCAAGUACUUUUGGCAGAGAAGAAAAGGUAUCUCCUAAUACGAGAUACUGCUGACGGUAUCUGAAGAUUACGCAACGGAUCACUAUGUUCCAGCAGCCGCGGUAAUACGUAGGGUGCAAGCGUUAAUCGGAAUUACUGGGCUUAAAGCGUUGGUAGGCGGUUCGGAAAGAAAGAUGUUAAAUCCCAGGGCUCAACCUUGGAACUGCAUUUUUAACUGCCGAGCUAGAGUAUGUCAGAGGGGGGUAGAAUUCCACGUGUAGCAGUGAAAUGCGUAGAUAUGUGGAGGAAUACCGAUGGCGAAGGCAGCCCCCUGGGAUAAUACUGACGCUCAGACACGAAAGCGUGGGGAGCAAACA